rnacentral:rRNA from 1 species
CAGAGGUCACUGCUAUCGGGGUUCGAUUUAGCCAUGCGAGUCGAGAGGGUUCGGCCCUCGGCGGACUGCUCAGUAACACGUGGAUAAUCUGACCUAUGGUGGGGAUACCCCCGGGAAACUGGGUUAAUACCUCAUAGGAUAUGUCUGCUGGAAUGCUUCAUAUCCGAAAGUUCCGACGCCAUAGGAUGAAUCUGCGGCCGAUUAGGUAGUUGUUGGGGUAAUGGCCCAACAAGCCUGUAAUCGGUACGGGUUGUGGAGCAAGAGCCCGGAGAUGGAAUCUGAGACACGAUUCCAGGCCCUACGGGGCGCAGCAGGCGCGAAAACUUUACAAUGCAGCAACUGUGAUAAGGGAACCCCGAGUGCUCGUAUGUGCGAGCUGUUCAGGUGUAUAAAACGCAUCUGAAGAAAGGGCCGGGCAAGACCGGUGCCAGCCGCCGCGGUAAUACCGGCGGCUCGAGUGGUGGCCAUUUUUAUUGGGCUUAAAGCGUUCGUAGCUUGAAUGUAAGUCUCUUGGGAAAUCUCACGGCUUAACCGUGAGGCGUCCAGGGGAUACUGCAUUCUUGGGAUCGGAAGAGGUAAGAGGUACUCCGGGGGUAGGAGUGAAAUCCUGUAAUCCCUGGGGACCACCGAUGGCGAAGGCAUCUUACCAGGACGAGUCCGACAGUGAGGAACGAAGCUGGGGGAGCGAACCGGAUUAGAUACCCGGGUAGUCCCAGCCGUAAACGAUGCUCGUUAGGUGUACCGGUGACCGAGUACUGGGUGCCGAAGGACCGUGAACGCCUGGAAGUACGGUCGCAAGGCUGACUUAAAGGAAUUGGCGGGGAGCACCACAACAGGUGGAGCUGCGGUUUAUGGACUCAACGCCGGAAUCUCACCGGGUAAGCAGCAGAAUGAUAGUCGGCUGAGACCUUACUGACUAGCUGAGAGGAGGUGCAUGGCCGUCGUCAGUUCGUACUGUGAAGCAUCCUGUUAAGUCAGGCAACGAGCAAGACCACGCCAACAGUUGCCAGCAUAUUCUUCGGAAUGAUGGGGAACUGUUGGGACCGCCUCUGCUAAAGAGGAGGAAGGAAUGGGCAACGGUAGGUCAGCAUGCCCCGAAUACCCGGGCUACACGCGGGCUACAAUGGUCGGGACAAUGAGUAUCGACACCGAGAGGUGUAGACAAUCUCCUAAACCCGUUCUAAGUACGGAUUGUGGGCUGCAACUCGCCCACAUGAAGCUGGAAUCUGUAGUAAUCGCGUUUCAAAAUAGCGCGGUGAAUUCGUCCCUGCUCCUUGCACACACCGCCCGUCAACCACCCGAGUGAGGUUUGGAUGAGGCUGUGGUAUUUGCCGCAGUCGAAUCUAGGUUUCGCAAGGGGGGUU